rnacentral:tRNA from 1 species
GCGGGUGUGGCGGAAUUGGCAGACGCACUAGAUUUAGGAUCUAGCGUUGAAAGACGUGGGGGUUCAAGUCCCUUCACCCGCACCA